rnacentral:tRNA from 1 species
GGAGAGAUGGCCGAGUGGUUUAAGGCGCACGCUUGGAAAGCGUGUAUACUGUUAAAGGUAUCGUGGGUUCAAAUCCCACUCUCUCCGCCA